rnacentral:ncRNA from 1 species
ACAAAGGCUCUCUUAAGAGCCACCCACACAAUCCACGAGAGAGCUG